ACAUUGAUGUAACCGCACAGAAUAGGUUUUAAACUAGAGUGCCUAUAAUGGCGAGUCUUGUAAUGAGG
rfam:Peptoniphilus grossensis strain 35-6-1 unitig_0, whole genome shotgun sequence.